AAUAUUUUUGAAUUUAAACAAAAAAGGAAAUCAAAAUCAAAAUCAAAAUCGCUAUCUCAUACUCUCAGGCUCUGUAAAUCACAAUUCACAAUCACUCAAACCCCAAACUUUCUCUCUCUGAUUCAAUUUUUUGGGGGGUAAAAUUCAUAAGCGAACGCUGAACAAUUUUGUGAAAUUUUGGACGGUUGAGAUUGGCGGGCAGAGGAGGAUAGCAUGGCGUCGGCGCCGGUGAACAAGAUCGAGCGGGCCCACCUGAUGUACCGGGAAGGGAGGUACUCGGAGGCCCUAGGGUUUUACACGGAAGCCCUAUCCAUGGCCAAGACGAAGCCCCAGAAGAUUGCUUUGCACAGCAACAGAGCUGCUUGCUUCUUGAAGCUUCACGAUUUCAAAAAGGCUGCAGACGAAUGCACCUCAGUGCUUGAGCUUGAUUUCAAUCACACUGGAGCUUUGAUGUUGCGGGCGCAGACCCUAGUGACCCUCAAGGAAUAUCACUCAGCUCUCUUUGAUGUUCAUCGGCUGAUAGAGUUAAAUCCAUCAUCAGAAGUGUAUCAAAACCUUCAAGCCCGUUUAAAGACACAAGUGUCCCUUGCUCCAAUACCUGAAUCCGACGCAGAGCUAGAAGAAGAGGAAGAAGACGAGAAUGAAGUAGAGCUAAAUGGAUAUGGAGAGGAAGAGAAGCAAUACGAAGGACAAGAAGAUGCAGUAUUUUCAGGUGCAGUAAAGGAUCAGUUUGCUGAGGUUAAUAGGACGACUGCUGUUGCUGAUGUUAUUCCCCCCAAGACACCAGUAAACAGGGAAGUUCCUGAACAAGGAAAGGAUCCAAAAGUUAAUUACACAAAGACUACUUCCCCAGCUGAAGUUGCUGCCCCUCGUGCAGAACUCAUCAAAGUACCGUCUGAAAAAGAAAAAGGAUGGCAAGCAAUCCCGAAACCGAAGGGGCACUCUUCUCUGGACUAUGCACGGUGGGACACAGUAGAAGAUGACUCUAGUGAAGAUGAUGAUGACGACGAUGAUGAUGAAGAGUCUCAACCUCAGUAUAGAUUCCGUGUAAGAACUGUUGGUGUCCGACCAGUUAAGUGAAGAGGCGGCAGAUGAACAAAUGUACACAAUACACAAGAUAGAUAGCCAUCAUUAUUGCUAAAACCAGCCACAAAGUCAAUAUCACAGUGAAUUGAGGAGGGGAAAGUUCUUGUAGUUUCAUAUUCAGAAAUUUUGAAACCUAUGAGAAAAUUGUCUUCAACAAGCAGUUCCUGUUAUGCUGUGAUUUUCAAACAAUUCAUGCUGUGACACAAAAAUAAGUGGAGGCUCAGUCCGCAAACAGUUGAAAUCAAACUUGUCCUGGCUUAUUAGUGCUUGCAGGGUCAGGUAAAUUAUUGGUUCCUUUGAUGGCGUUUGUAAAUUUUUAUUGUAAUGCUUGUAAGAAAAUAAUGAAAACUAAAAAGUUUUCAAGAUUGCUACCAAAUUCAAGCAACUUGUCGACCAGAAAGAUGAUACAAACUUGUAUUUAUUUAUUUUUUUAUUGUAUUUUCUGGUGUCAUGUCAUGUGGAGUACGUAAAUCGGUAAUCGAUGGCCUGAUUUCUGUUUUUUUUGUAAAGUUCGGAAACGAAUAAGAGAAUUUGCCUAAAAUUUGUGAGGCAUCCAACUUGUUGGAAGUGUUUUGGGCCGCCACCCAAUAUGUCAAUCCAAAUAACAAGCAAACUCAAUGGAAAAAACUAGGGAGUU